AACGAACGCUGGCGGCAGGCCUAACACAUGCAAGUCGAGCGGACGAACCCUUUCGGGGGCGAGUUAGCGGCGGACGGGUGAGGAACACGUGGGAACAUGCCUUUCGGUACGGAAUAGCCUCGGGAAACUGGGAGUAAUACCGUAUACGCCUUUCGAGGGAAAGAUUUAUCGCCGAAAGAUUGGCCCGCGUUAGAUUAGCUAGUUGGUGGGGUAAGAGCCUACCAAGGCAACGAUCUAUAGCUGGUUUGAGAGGAUGAUCAGCCACACUGGGACUGAGACACGGCCCAGACUCCUACGGGAGGCAGCAGUGGGGAAUCUUAGACAAUGGGGCAACCCUGAUCUAGCCAUGCCGCGUGAGUGACGAAGGCCCUAGGGUCGUAAAGCUCUUUCGCCAGGGAUGAUAAUGACAGUACCUGGUAAAGAAACCCCGGCUAACUCCGUGCCAGCGCCGCGGUAA
rnacentral:rRNA from 1 species